rnacentral:rRNA from 1 species
AUGUCAGGUGUGACACCAGGUUUGAAGCCACAAGGGACGGUGGUCCGGCCGGCACCAUGGCCCUCUUUCCUUGACAAGGACAGCAGUACAGCUCGUGGCGGCAUCAUCGAGCCACCAUCGAGCGCCGCCACGGUGUUAAUCAGGGAGGUGGCUCCCUGUGUGAGUUGGCAAGGAAUGAUGAGAGAGGAUAUUUACAGUGCAAAGGUGUGCUGGGGGAAGCUCUCUUUCUGGCCUCGGCUGCACUCACACAAAACAACCCCUCAAUCUCUUAGGCAAGCAGGAGACAUCAACCGCAGCAACUCAAGCCUUGGGAACAUCGACUGGUAUUGGUGGCUUAUUUUCAAUGAGUCCUUGGAAGUAAUGUAUGCUCUAGCAGAAUCAGAGGUGCGGUACUUAAGGCGUAAUCCCUCCAACUCUCCUUGGUGUUUGGUGGACGUGUUCUGGAGGUUCCAAAACUACUGGUCUGAUCCUCAAAAUGUACGGUUAGCUGAUGUGAGUUUUGAAGCUCUAUUUUCUGCUGGACAACACAACACUGGACUCUCUUUGCAAGUCUUGGGUGUUGGUUCAAUUCUGAACAUAUUGUUCAGUGAAGCUGCACCUAGUUCACUAAUGACAGAGUGCCAUGUGGAUGGAUGUCUAUGGAGAGCACAAUAUGCACCUUGUUGUAUCUCGGGGAAAUCCAUCGAAGAGAAGCAUUUGCAUAUUUAUGCAGCAGCUAAUCAGGCCCUAAUAUUAUGCAGAGCAGAAGUGGAACUCUUUAGCGAAGCCUAUCGCCCUUCAACUAUUUUUGCCCACAACACAGUGUGGGAAAAGCCAACUUGCAGUAAUAUCAUUGCAUCUUCUGUGCUUACUUGGCGGUUCAGUGCUACAGAUGUUCUUCGCUAUAAGUCGAUGCAGUCUUCAUGUAAGGUAGACAGUGCCAUUGUUCAUAAUUCCUCAUGGAAAACCAGUGGUCGCUGUGAAGGCAUGCCUUUAUAUUGGUGGUCUCUUCAAAAUGAAUUUUCCACACUAUUUCCUGCAACUAAAGCGAGCGUGCUGCACCACAUUGAUUGGUGGUCUGAUUUUAAAUUUGUACAUCAAGCUCAUGCUAUUGGUCAUGCUACUUUGCAUUUGGGAUCUGCAAAACAGAUGGAUACUAGGAUCCCUGAAGCUCUUAGAACACUCUAUGUUAUUAUGCAACCUGAAGAUCUCAGGACACUCUAUGUUCCAGUUACUAUGCAGCCUGAAGCUCUCAGGACACUCUAUGUUAUUUAG